ACUCUUCUUAAAGUAGGGAUACACAAUGUUUUUAUUUUAGAUAGCAUCAGUAAACUGAAUCAGCAUGACAGUAUUUUUGGAAAUUAAAUACUUUGGACUGUUAAAUGGAAAUGUAAUGCAGUAGAAUAAUAAUGUUGAUAUGCUAUGGUAAAAAAAAAAUAUAUUUGAGAAUAUUAACUGAAAGUGCAUGUGUAGGUUAGUAUAAAAGUUGCAAGAAGUAGUAGUAAAGAGAGGGUUGAGAAAGAAAAAGAGAGGAUGAAAAGCUGCAAAAUGAUUUUGAAGGGAAUUAAUGGAUGUUUUGUCAGUACAUCAGAAAUCUGAGGAGGGAGAAUGAUGGAAUUGGAUGUGGUGUGAAAAAUAAAGUGGCAGGAUGUUGUGGGAUGAAUUAGAGAUAAUUGAUAAAUGAAAAGAGUAUUUCUGUGAGCUUUUGUACCUAUUGGGGAAAGAGAUGAGAACAGAAUAUAUGCAAUGAAUGUGAGCAGAGGGAGCAAAUUGAUGUGAUUAUAUUGAGUGCAAUUGAUACAUUGAAAUAUGGUAAGAGCUAUUUAUAUUCGAGAUCACAGUUGACGUGUUGAAAUAUGGUGGGAAAUCUGUUGUGGAAUAGAUAUGAAACUUGUUUAAGUGUUGGACAAAUUGUGUAUCUCUGAGUGAUUGAAUUAAGUAUGUGAUUGUCUCUAUUACAAAAGAAGGGGACAAGAACUGAAUGCAAGAAUUCUAGGGUAUAAAUCACUAAAUGUGGCUGAAAAGAUAUUUUGUUAGAUUAUGAUUGACAGAAUGAAUAUAUGACUAAUGAGAGAAUGUGAGAUAUUCAGUACAACUCUAGAAAUAUCAAUAGAAGAGAUGAAUGAGUCAAAUUUUUUUAUUGUGUAUGAUUGUGGUGAAAUAUCUCUAUGUGAAGAAGGUGUUUUUCUAUUCGUAGAUCUUGAGAAGAAAUGAAAGAGUAUGAUGUGAUUGCUCUUACUGCCCCAAGCAGCCACUCACAAUGUCCUCACAUAUCAAGCAUAUAUUAAAUUCAUAUACAAUAUAUUAAUAGCAGGGCCGGCGCAAGGCAGGUUCAGCGCGUUCGCAGGAACCCGGCCCCACGUUUUGAGAGGCCCUGCGGUCUAUGAAAAUUACCCAAUUAAAAAACACCAAUUUUGAUUAACUUUUUACAGAAUGAUGAUACCGUUAUAACAGAGGCAAGACAAUCUCUUUCCAACUGAUGAUGGUAUUGUAGAUACCGAAAACGUUUCUGCUUUAUAUUAAACUUAAAUGUUUUUGUUAAGCCUGGUUAUUUUCUAC
rnacentral:lncRNA from 1 species